rnacentral:misc_RNA from 1 species
UUGAUUCAUUUUGCAAUAAAAUCCACUCAGACGAUGCCGCUGCAGGAUACAAAAAGAGUUUGUUGGUCCCCCGGCGGGCCGGCCCACGGGCGACCGCCCCCGUCCCCCGGAGGAUCCGGGUCGCGGGAGGGCGCGCUGGGGAUGGCAACCGCCGAAGCAACUGAAGAGAAUAAACGUUCACAUUGGGGUUUGGGAGUUUGUAAACUCGGUAAUGAUCCCUCCGCUGGUUCACCAACGGAGA